rnacentral:rRNA from 1 species
GUGCAGCAGGCGCGAAACCUCCGCAAUGCGCGAAAGCGCGACGGGGCCACCCCGAGUGCCGCCCGCUGAGGGCGGCUUUUCCCCGGUGUAGACAGCCGGGGGAAUAAGGGGAGGGCAAGUCUGGUGUCAGCCGCCGCGGUAAUACCAGCUCCCCGAGUGGUGGGGACGAUUAUUGGGCCUAAAGCGUCCGUAGCCGGCCCGGCAAGUCUCCCGUUAAAUCCAGCGAUCUAAUCGCUGGACUGCGGGAGAUACUGUCGGGCUAGGGGGGCGGGAGAGGCCGGCGGUAUUCCCGGGGUAGGGGUGAAAUCCUAUAAUCCCGGGAGGACCACCAGUGGCGAAGGCUGCCGGCUGGAACGCGCCCGACGGUGAGGGACGAAAGCCGGGGGAGCGAACCGGAUUAGAUACCCGUGUAGU